CCAAUAGCGUAUAUUAAAGUUGUUGCAGUUAAAAAGCUCGUAGUUGAAUUUUGGGUCUGGCCGGGCGGUCCGCCUUCUGGGUGAGUACUGUUCCGAUGCCGGACCUAUCCUUCUGGUGAGUCGGCAUGCCCUUUACUGGAUGUGUCGGGGAACCAGGACCAUUACCUUGAAAAAAUUAGAGUGUUCAAAGCAGGCGCAUGCUCGAAUACAUUAGCAUGGAAUAAUGAAAUAGGACGCGUGGUGCUAUUUUGUUGGUUUCUAGAACCGCCGUAAUGAUUAAUAGGGAUAGUUGGGGGCAUUAGUAUUCAAUUGUCAGAGGUGAAAUUCUUGGAUUUAUUGAAGACUAACUUCUGCGAAAGCAUUUGCCAAGGAUGUUUUCAUUAAUCAAGAACGAAAGUUAGGGGAUCGAAGACGAUCAGAUACCGUCGUAGUCUUAACCAUAAACUAUGCCGACUAGGAAUCGGGCGAUGUUAUUUUCACGACUCGCCCGGCGCCUUAUG
rnacentral:rRNA from 1 species